CGAGGGUUAACAGUCAGCAUGUGAUAUCGCAUCGCACAUAUUCCUUGCUCACACUUUAAUCUGUACUGGUGUGGGAAGCAGUAAGAUGCUAACACAUCCAUAAAGCGAUGCAUAAGGAAUUGCCAUCCCAGAGCAGACCUCAGCAUGUCUGUGUGACGAUGCCCAGUGCUUCAAUGGAAACACAGGUUUGCAAGGGCACAACAGAGGAGCCACAGGUCCCCUGGAGACCCCGCUGCUAUGCUUGGGACCGGGGCAGUAAAGAAGAGCACAUUCAGCAAAACUGUGGCGACAAUACCAUCUGGGUUUGGGCUAUUCCAGGGGGAGUGCAGAGGCUGCAAGCAGCCUUCUGGGGAUCCCUGAGCACUGGGGAUCACUGCGAGCCCUGGGGCACACAAACCAGAGCUGCUCAGGUCUCCUCUUGCCUGAGGUGGGCUGCAACACACCCACAUCUCUGACAUGUUAUUAAAAAACCAACACUGGCCCCAGAGGGCUCAGUGAAGCUGCUAGGUGAUUCGGCAUGAGCAUGAGCCAGGCUGUGUUUACUAGGGCUGGUGCUCAUUAGCCAGGUUCAUUAGCACUCCCUGGGUAGGUUUUAAAUAGCAAAGCGGGAGCUGCCCUCCAGGUCUGGGGCAGCCCUGGCUGCAGCUGGAGCACUUUUCCUUUUCCUUCCCUCCUGCUUUAGUUCUUCCUUCUCUCCUCACCGACUUCUGCAGGCUGCAACGUGUAGAGGUGGAGGCUUUGCUCCCGCUAUCAUAAAUCCCCUGGCAUUAGAAGUAGUGACCCAAACUCCUCUGAUCACCCCCAAGAAGGCUGUGUCUUCUGCAGCCCAUGGGCAGAGCUGGAGCUCUUUGCUGAGCCCUGGGGAAGCUCCCAGAGCCUUGACAGCUCCAUCCAUGGUUUGUUACCUUCCCAGUCUUCCUCCUCUCUUGCUCUCCCGCCGAGGUCAGCAUGCAGACUUGUCCCUGCUCUUGAUGGGGACCAGAGUUUGGGAAGGGGACUGGAGCCAGGGAAGGGGACAGCACUAACCUCUGCACCUGUACUCUGGGCUGCCCCAGCACCUUGGCUCCGCUUGGUGUCCCGAGACAGGGCACCUGGCCUCCCUGCCAUUGAUGUGGCUGUUUCCCUCCUGCUGUGCCCCAUCAUGAGGCCAUGUGGAUGGAAAAGGGAACUUCGCUGCAGCGUGGAUUCAUUUCAUCUCUCCCUAUUGCUCUUUCACCUCCUUGUCCUUCCUCAUUUCCCUCCCAGAGCUCUCCCCCUGUUUUCCCUUCCUCUCCGGCUUUCUCACCCCCAUUUCCCAUCGCCUCCUCUACACCCCUGUCCUCCCCCAUCUCGGCCCUGCAGCGGGUGAAGGGCUUCAGCCCACAGCACGAGCACCCACUCGACGCCGCGGCCUCUCAGCACCAGCAGCGGGUGCAGGACCACCGCAACCGCAGAUAAGCCGAGCAGGCUCUUUGCCCCCGGGGGAGAGAUGCAGGGGACGGGGCUGGCUGCUGCCCGACCCCUGCCGGCGGGGUGCAGCCCCCCGGGGCCGCACGGUGCCUGGCAGCCCCGGGGCUGGGGCCGCAGCCCGCCCGCCGCCGCCUCCCAGCCUGGAUU